GACAUGACCUCCAUAACAAUCAGCUUUGGCCCGGACAUCUCCCUCAUCAGCAUGAACUGCGCCACCACCUGCACCAGCUGCAAUUGGUACUUGGACACGGUCAUUAUCAUUGGCAGCUUUCUCUACAACUACAGUCUGUGUAGGCUGAAUGCCAGGAUCUUCCUCCCGGGC
rnacentral:rRNA from 1 species